CAGCCUACGGGAGGCAGCAGUGGGGAAUAUUGGGCAAUGGGCGCAAGCCUGACCCAGCAACGCCGCGUGAAGGAAGAAGGCUUUCGGGUUGUAAACUUCUUUUCUCAGGGACGAAGAAAGUGACGGUACCUGAGGAAUAAGCCACGGCUAACUACGUGCCAGCAGCCGCGGUAAUACGGAGGAUGCGAGCGUUAUCCGGAUUUAUUGGGUUUAAAGGGUGCGCAGGCGGCGUGUCAAGUCAGCGGUAAAAUGUCGGGGCUCAACCCCGGCCGGCCGUUGAAACUGGCGUGCUCGAGUUGGAGAGG
rnacentral:rRNA from 1 species